GAUGAUUAUUUCUACCGCAUAUGGAGAGGGGAGAGCCGUCGAGUGGAUCUCGCGGAAGGGGCCUCCGCCGGCCGCCGGCCCCCGGCCUCCUCCCGGGGCUGCUAGGUCCUGCCGACCACCGGCGACCUGCUCGCUGGUGAGUAUAUGCAGCGGCCCGAAGAGGCACGUGCAGGGGAAGGCUUCCCCGGAUCUCCCAGGACAGCGAUAUCAGGUACAUGGGCAUGAGAUGGGAAUCACAAUUGUUGUGGAGGAAGGGAAGAAUGUCUUGUUAUUUGGCUGUUGCCAUCCAUGUUCUUUUGGGUUUCACAAUGCAAUAAGUGUUCCUCUCCGCAACGAAUAUAUUAGAUCGAGCAUCAUGUCAUGUACACCAUAAGCUUUUGCUGUCUUCAUAGUCGAUGUCUACCAGUUCGAUCAUGCUUCUAUUUAUCAACUCAUUGAAGUAACCCUCUCCUAGCUCAAAUGGGCCAAUUUCUCGUUUACAUGAUACAUAAAAAAUUCAGAUAUCCAUCUCCAUAUGAACUGGUCUCUCUUCAUUUUGUAAUCUUCUGGAUACAUGCUUACUUAUAAUAAAUGAUGUGAAGGUAGAUCAUAGAACAACAACAUAAUCUUUUGACUUCGGCAAGUCAGUGUAGACUAGAGAUAGAACACAACAGGAGCCACACACACCAACUAUAUGGAAAGUAGCAAUGAAAUAGUAAAACAAGCUCCUGACUUGUAGAUUAUGUCAAAGUGAUGGUCUAGAAUCAAGCUUCUUUUACUACUAGUUUUGGUCUACCUUGACAUCUGCUAUAGGAUUAGUUAUUAUAUAUAAGUAUGUUUUCAGAAGAUUAGAAGAUUAAGCAAGGUCAGUUGAUAGUAAAUGGAUAGCUGAAUGUUUUUGUUUAUCAUGAAAAACAAGAGAUUAGCUUAUUUGAGAUCGGAAUAGAGUUACUCAAUGAGACAAUAAAUAGAAACAUGAUUGAACCAACAGACAUCAAUGCUGAUGAAGGCAUGGAAUAAAUCUUAUCGUAUACUCCCUCUGUAAACUAAUAUAAGAGCGUUUAGAACACUACUUUAGUAAUCUAAACGCUCUUAUAUUAGUUUACGGAGGGAGUACAUGAUAUGAUGAUUGAUCCCAUAUGUAUGUUUUUGCCAAGUGAAGAAAACCACUUGUAUGGCAUUGGGUGAAAGCGGUCUAUCCAAAGGCAAGAUUUGAAGAUCAUCCAUCUGAAAGAGCACGACAGACAUAACCACCAUCAGAAGCAGCAACAAUGCCACAAAUUUGGAAUAUUGUGCUGCAUGCUUCCAUUCUUUCCAAUUGAUAUUUUGGGACUCAAGAACAGUGUGCAUUAACCAUGGUGUUUUGAUUUGUGUUCUGCAUCAACAUGAAGCUCUCAUUGUAACUAUACCCACUUAUGCCUGAAUACAUUAUCACUUCCGUCAGAUUCAAGAACGACCAAGUUUCUGCGGCACCUCCUGCAUUUUUCUCAGGAUGAACUUCCUUCUCCAUUUCAUUCUUUUGUAAGGAAGAGUUUUGUACUUAUGAUGUAUGCCUGGCAGGUUAAUUUUCCGCCAGCUCAAGUUAAUGUAGCCUGGCAUCCCUUACAUUUUCUCCUUAAGAACCAUCAGUUAUUCUGUACUGAUGUCUUGUAUGCUUCCUCUCCUGCAUUCAUCAUUACACUCCUUUGUUUGUUACAGCUUUAUUUGAGACUCACAAACCAAAAAACCACGUUCAGCUUGUACUAUGUUCUGAAGUUUCAUCUUCUAUUUGUCGUGCUGGUUUGAUCGAAUAUACGAGGAAGUCAGCUGUGUCAUUUUAAUGUGCCGGCUUAGGACCUGUAUUGAGUAAAUCUUUAUUUGAGUAUAACUGGAACU
rnacentral:rRNA from 1 species